rnacentral:rRNA from 1 species
AUUGAACGCUGGCGGCAGGCCUAACACAUGCAAGUCGAGCGGAUGAGAAGAGCUUGCUCUUCGAUUCAGCGGCGGACGGGUGAGUAAUGCCUAGGAAUCUGCCUGGUAGUGGGGGACAACGUUUCGAAAGGAACGCUAAUACCGCAUACGUCCUACGGGAGAAAGCAGGGGACCUUCGGGCCUUGCGCUAUCAGAUGAGCCUAGGUCGGAUUAGCUAGUUGGUGAGGUAAUGGCUCACCAAGGCGACGAUCCGUAACUGGUCUGAGAGGAUGAUCAGUGACCCUGGGACUGAGAAACGGUCCAGACGCCUACGGGAGGCAGCAGUGGGGAAUAUUGGACAAGGGGCGAAAGCCUGAUCCAGCCAUGCCGGGUGUGGGAAGAAGGUCUUCGGAUUGUAAAGCGCUUUAGGUUGGGAGGAAAGGCAGUAAGUUAAUACCGUGCGGUUUUGACGUUACCGACAGAAUAAGCACCGGCUAACUCUGUGCCAGCAGCCGCCGUAA